rnacentral:snRNA from 1 species
GGAUGUGAGGGCAAUCUGGCUGCGACAUCUGUCACUCCAUUGAUCACCAGGGUUGAUUCAGCUGAUCUGGCUGGCUAGGCGGGUGUCCCCUUCCUCCCUCACCGCUCCAUAUGGGUCCCUCCCGAAGCUGUGUGCUCAGUUGAAGAGGAUGACCUUCCUUGAAUAGAGGAGGACCGGUCUUCAGUCAAGGGUAUACGAGUAGCUGCACUCCCCUGCUAGAACCUCCAGAAAGCUCUCAAAACUUCUGACCUGGAAGAUAGGACAGAAGAAAUUGGUCAGGAGACCAAUAACCUU